rnacentral:rRNA from 1 species
UACGAAGGGGGCUAGCGUUGCUCGGAAUCACUGGGCGUAAAGCGCACGUAGGCGGCUUCUUAAGUCAGGGGUGAAAUCCUGGAGCUCAACUCCAGAACUGCCUUUGAUACUGAGGAGCUUGAGUCCGGGAGAGGUGAGUGGAACUGGCGAGUGUAGAGGUGAAAUUCGUAGAUAUUCGCAAGAACACCAGUGGCGAAGGCGGCUCACUGGCCCGGUACUGACGCUGAGGUGCGAAAGCGUGGG